AAACUCUUUAAAACAGUCCAGAGAGGCUGGCAAGAGCAACAUAGGGAGUCGCAUGGCGGUAAAUGGACAUGUGAUGAUUCUAUGGAACCCUCUUAGCUGCUGUUUGGUUAAGAGGGUUUUUGCGU
rfam:Bacillus pseudalcaliphilus strain DSM 8725 super5, whole genome shotgun sequence.